rnacentral:rRNA from 1 species
AUUGAACGCUGGCGGCAGGCUUAACACAUGCAAGUCGAACGGACUACUUCGGUAGCUAUUGGCGAACGGGUGAGUAAUGCCUAGGAAUCCGCCGUUUAAUGGGGGAUAACUGAACGAAAGGUCUGCUAAUACCGCAUACCCACUCCGUGGGAAAGCAGGGGAACUUCGGACCUUGCGUUAAACGCAGAGCCUAGGUGGGAUUAGCUCGUUGGUGAGGGAAAGGCUCACCAAGGCGACGGUCUGGAGCGGGUCUGGGAGGAUGAUCCGCCACACUGGAACUGAGACACGGUCCAGACUCCUACGGGAGGCAGCAGUGGGGAAUAUUGGACAAUGGGGGCAACCCUGAUCCAGCCAUGCCGCGUGUGUGAAGAAGGCCUUUUGGUUGUAAAGCACUUUAAGCGAGGAGGAGGCUUUGUGGGUUAAUACCCUGCAAAGUGGACGUUACUCGCAGAAUAAGCACCGGCUAACUCUGUGCCAGCAGCCGCCGUAA